rnacentral:rRNA from 1 species
GCCUGUUCCACGGGUUCUGUGUCGUAGCUAACGCAUUAAGUUCCCCGCCUGGGGAGUACGGCCGCAAGGCUAAAACUCAAAGGAAUUGACGGGGGCCCGCACAAGCGGCGGAGCAUGCGGAUUAAUUCGAUGCAACGCGAAGAACCUUACCAAGGCUUGACAUAUGGAAGAACGGGUCAGAAAUGAUUCACUCUUUGGACACUUCUAUACAGGUGGUGCAUGGUUGUCGUCAGCUCGUGUCGUGAGAUGUUCGGUUAAGUCCGGCAACGAGCGCAACCCUCGUCCUAUGUUGCCAGCACGUAAUGGUGGGAACUCAUGGGAUACUGCCGUGGUCAACACGGAGGAAGGUGGGGAUGACGUCAAAUCAUCAUGCCCCUUAUGUCUUGGGCUUCACGCAUGCUACAAUGGCCGGUACAAUGGGCUGCGAUACCGCGAGGUGGAGCGAAUCCCAAAAAGCCGGUCUCAGUUCGGAUUGGGGUCUGCAACUCGACCCCAUGAAGUCGGAGUCGCUAGUAAUCGCAGAUCAGCAACGCUGCGGUGAAUACGUUCCCGGGCCUUGUACACACCGCCCGUCAAGUCAUGAAAGUCGGUAACACCCGAAGCCGGUGGCCUAACCCUUGUGGAGGGAGCCGUCGAAGGUGGGACUGGUGAUUAGGACUAAGUCGUAACAAGGUAGCCGUACCGGAAGGUGCGGCUG